ACAGUGUCACAGGCAAAAGGACCAAGUGCGGGCGGGUGAGCAUCAGGAGUCCAGUUGAUUGGCUUCGGCCUUUGAGUUGCUGCUGGCUAGCGGUGCCGCUUCUGAGCGUCUCCUCACCCCUCACUCAUGUGGCCCCUUCAACUGGUGGCACUUUUGCUUGUGUCUUGUUAUCUUUUCGAAAUGGUGAAGCUGACAAUGAUAGCCUGUAUCACUGAUGGCCUUUCAUUUGCGGAGUGCUUAGAUGGUGGUUAUGUUAAGGAUGUUGUCUUCUACAAGCAGCAAGCAAAAUUGUUGUUCAAAAACAUAUAUAAAGGCCAACAUGAAUCAUCAAGACUGUCAACUGAGACUGGACCGUACCAUUCCAGGUUAAGGUUGCAGGAAUAGCUUUAUAUUAGGAGCAGCUUCUCCACCACCACUCAGCGGUAGAGGAGGUGUGCUUCUUCCCCAACACAACAUAGCGUCAGCCACGAGAAAAGGAGAAGAAGGGGAUGGAUGAGCAAGGAGCAGAAGGACCUGAAGAAGAAGGGCAAGGGAAGUGGGGCGAUAUGCAUGUCCAGGGAGGGUAUAGAAAACCAAUUAGUGUUGGCUGCCUUGAAGGGAGCCACAAGGAAGAGAGAGAUCAGUGUACAUGACAUGAAGAUGAUAAGGCGCCACUUCCACGAUGACAUCAACAUCGCCGUGGUCUGUCUUCAAUGGCACCUGGGGCGACAUCAGAUCAUGACAUGCAUCCUUUAGCUAGAUUCAUCUUUGUUUGAUGUAGUUCUUUGUGAUCUGAAAGCAACUGACUACUCAAUACCAAUCAGUGCAUGGAGGGAACUCCUGUCCACCACGCCGGCGACAGGAACAUGGAAAACGCAGUCCACGGUGCCACCAAUGAACAAGAGCUGAUCAGCCCAAAGUCUAUGGUUAAUGCCAUUCUUGGUAACAUUGGUCUGCCUGAUGCAAAACAAACAAGGACUACAAGAACUACAAUGGACGUGCCGAGACAAGCAUUGUAAGGAUCCCAGUUAGAAUGAUGCUUGAUCUCCUGGUAGAGCAUCUUGGGCUUCACAAGGCCAUCUGAGACUCGGGCUCAAUGAGAACACAAUGAGAGUCAUCAUUCUCUCUGACACUGCUGUUCAAGACGACCGGACCUGUCCACCGCGCAUGCCCAUUACUGGUGUAUGAACAUUGCAUCCUUUAAUUUACCCUGUAUAUGAACAUUCCAUUCUUCAAAUAUGUUGUACUAUCAUUCUGGUGGCUAUGGAGAUGUGUUGUACUGUAGUUUUGGUAUCCAUUGAUGAUGUCUUGCUCCGAUUACACUUGAAUCUGUA